GAAGAAUUGCAAGAGAAACGCAUUUAGGCCAGUCCUCACCGAGUUUGGAUUGUGCCAUCAGUUCAAUGGAGGUGAAGAGAUUCAUCAGGUUGAUAUGGAAGGUUCUAGAAAUGGACUUGAGCUCUAUCUGGACACACAACAACAGAAUGAAUAUACUCAAAAUGUUUUGAGCAACGGAGCACUGAUACUAUUACAUGACCGACACGACCAUCCAGACAUGCUGAGUUUUGCCAUCCAUACCGUCCCUGGAGAAAGCGCCUUUAUUGCC